rnacentral:lncRNA from 1 species
CGCGGACAACCCUUCCCUGUCCCCUUCUCCCUCCACCACCGUCACAUGCCCGCGACGUACGUUGUGCGCGGAGAAACGCGACCAUACCUUUGCACGGGCACCGGUCCGCACGCAGUCAUUCCGGCCCUCCCCGCCUCCCGCUGGGCCUUAGGGCCGCGACCUCACCGAGGCCACCGGCUGUGCGGGAUUCAGCCGGUUGCCCCUGGCACUCCUCCCGGGGGGGGGGAGGGGGGGAGGCUUCCAGGAUUGAUUUGAGGGGAACUGGACUGUAGGGCCCCCAAAUCCUUCCCGUUGACAGUGUGAGGGCCUGGUGUCCUCUUUCUCCUGUUGGAUACGGGUCUGCUAGGCUGUGAGAACACGAGCCACUUACAUGAAAUGGUUUUCUCUGCUGCCGGCUGGGGCCUUAUGUGGUUAGCAGAACCAACCCGCCUGGUGAGGCCCAAGGCGCUCUGGGGAGAUGAAGUUCGGCUGCCUCUCCUUCCGGCAGCCUUAUGCAGGUUUUGUCUUAAACGGGGUCAAGACCCUGGAGACGCGUUGGCGUCCUCUGCUGAGCAGCCACCGGAACCGUACCAUCGCCAUCCACAUUGCUCACAGGGACUGGGAAGACACCGCAUGGAGGGAGCUGCUGGCGGAGAGGCUUGGAAUGACCCCUGCUCAGAUUCAGGCCUUGCUUCUGGAAGGGGAAAAGUAUGGCCGUGGCGUGAUCGCUGGGCUUGUUGACAUUGGGGAAACCGUGCAGUGCCCAGAGGACUUAGCUCCUGAUGAGGUUGUGGCGCUGGAGAAUCAAGCUGUACUGACCAGCCUGAAGCAGAAGUACCUCACCGUGCUUUCAAACCCCAGGUGGUUACUGGAGCCCAUACCCAGGAAAGGCGGAAAGGAUAUCUUCCAGGUAGACAUCCCAGAGCACCUGAUGCCCUUGGGGCAGGACGCCUGGCGAGUGCGGAAGGUUACCGAGAAACCGGCUAAAUCAUGACCCAUCGACUGACCGUCAUGCCGCAGACCUACAAGCCAGGUUCAGUCUGAAUCAGCCCUGCCACUGUGUGCUGUUCGUGGAGACAGGUCUCUCCACUCAGAUGCAGGGGACAGGGCAGCGGGACUUUCCUCCUGAGAUGCCUGUCUGGGCUCGCCGGCAGUCUCCAGGACUUCGACGUUCGGGAUAAAGGGGAAGCGGCCAGUAAAUGUCUUGGUGCCGCCACUACUUGAGUCCUUCUGACUUCCGGGUCGUACAGAGACAUAGGUCUGAAGACGACCGGUUCGUGUUUCCUCCUCUCGUUGUUUUGCUCAGAACUCAUAGGACGUUUGAACAGCAUCCAGGGGACCUUGUGGGAAGGCUGGGAGCGGGCGCUAAAGGGGUGUGCAGGGGUGGCCAGCCACGGGUGCCCCCGUUCACCAUGGCGACAGCAUCAGACUGAGACACAGCAUCCGUCUGUUCUUACAAAUGACUCUUGCUCUGUUGUCAAAGCGUCCCUUGGCCCAUGAAGUAUGCGUGUUCGACACAUCCCACAGCUAGCUACUUCAUGGCCAAAGGAAGGAUCCUAAAUACAGCACCGAUGGGAAAAUGAUUAAGUCGUGUUGUGUAUUCUGUGGGAAAUCUUUUGUUGUCGUUGUGUGCUUUCUUAGCAAAGUUUCUGGUGGUCCUUACCGAUGGGGAAGAUGGGCUGUCCCUCCCCCCAACCCCCAGGCAUUGACUAGAAUGGCCCGUCUCUUCUGAGCAACAAGAAAGUAGCCCCACGUCCCUUGGCAGAUGGGGUGGCCCUGCUUUUAGGUGGGCCUCUUUGGCAGGCCCCUGGCUCUUGGGCUAGAGGCGCUCAGAAGCGCUGAUCAGAAGUUUCUGCUGAUCAGAAACUUCCCGGCAUCACAGGGGCACCCGUGAGGAAAAGCCCUCCUGUUUCAAACACACGAAUGAUACGAGGUGACACCCCCAAGGUCAGGAGUGAGGCGGUUCUGUCUCCUGACCCGCGGGCGAGGCUCAG